rnacentral:tRNA from 1 species
ACCUGGGUGGCUCUGUUGGUUAAGCACCUGACUUCGACUCAGGUCAUGAUCUCACAAUUUGUGAGUUCCAGCCCCACCUCAGGCU